UGGUACUGCACAGAACAGACAUUGUGACAUAUAUCUAGGCAAAUUGCCUAGAAGUGAAUCCCCUCUCCUGCUUAAGUCCUUCCCACAGAGAGCGGUUUGAUAUGUCACUGAAACCAGCAUCCAGGUGGUAUUGCUCCAUAUGCCUGAGACCCUAACAAAAGCCUAAUUACAACUCAUAUGCCUGGAGCCAGGACAUGUGCAGGAUGCCAUGAUGGUCCAAGUUAUAUUGGGAUUCAGCCAAUAGAAGAUAUUUUGCCUGUCAUCCCUAAGCUUAGGACAAUAGGGUCCUGCCCACAAGAAAGAUUGUGACAUCUCACUGGACAAGCACCCACCCAGACUCUGCCAAGAGAGGGGAUUAUUACAUAUUGCAGAGCCCAGCACCUAGGUGGAGUGACUCUCAUCUUUUUCUUCUACCCCGUAUAUAGCCAGCUUGGUGACCUACUAUUUGAGUCUAUACCCAGGCCCAGACCACAGAUGAAAUUGUGCAAUAUGUGGAACAAACACCUAAACAAUAUAUAACACCUUCCUUGGCUCUGUCUACAAAGGGCACUUUUAUAUAUCACUGGGACCAUCAACCAGGUGAUGUUAAUUAUCUUCCUGAAACCUGUCUACAAAGAGAGUUGUGUCGUAUACCUAGGCCCGUCAUGUAAGUGAUGUCAGUCCCUUCUACUGCCUUGGCCCUGCACUUACAGUGCAUUGUGACACAUAACAAGGUACUGCACACAGACGAUGUGAUUCUCCUUUUUGGGUUCUGCCAAAAGGAAGCAUUGUAAUAAAUCGCUUGGCUCAGUA
rnacentral:lncRNA from 1 species